rnacentral:lncRNA from 1 species
AAAAAACCUUUAAAAAAUAUUACAUAAAUAGUUAAAACAUAUCAAGUUACACAUGCAUUUCAAUGUUUUUCAUCAUUUCUGUCACCUAGAUAGUACUUAAAUUUAAACCUAUAAUAUAAGAAGUUCCACUUUUUAUAUGCAUAUCAGGUUAAACAUGCAUAACAAAAUUUUAUUUACACAAUCAUGUUCUACGAUUUACACACAUAAUGUAAAAACAUCAUUUCCCACGCUGCCUUCUUUCUCAGCAAAGUUCAACUUUCUUUUCUCAUUGCAAUAAUAGUAGCUUGCUCUGGUUCCUGGGAAGCAACCCACAAGCGUCCUAACUGCUGCAUUGACCAUCUACAAUUUACAUAAACAAAAAGUUCCAUUAAAUUGCAUGUCAAGCAGGAUAAUCACAUUACAUAUAAGGAAAGAUCAAAUACAACUUGAUUGUUAGAUUUGAAUUCUCACCUUCUACAUUUCUGCAUUUGUUUGAAGAAGAUCUUCGUAUUUCAUUCACAGGUGACAUAAAUGGUGAUGGAUCAUGGGAUGGACUUGAAAUUUUUUAAUAACAAACAAUAUUGAAGAAUAAUGAGACCUUAGCUUAUCUUAUUACUACAUUGCAGGUUAGGAAGGAAAUUGGAAUGGCAUUCAAGAAUCUGCCAACUGAUAAAAGGCGCAAGUACACAGUUGGAAGGCACCGAGUAGGUCGUUUGAAUGGGGAAAGACCGAAGUUUGUAUCUAGGUGUGUGCCCGAGCGAUUGGCUUCCGUUGUAGGUAAACUGCGGGCAAAACAAAAAGUGGCCGUCUGCUCUAUUGGAUUUGGGCAAUUACUGGAGAUGAAGUGUGGUCGUUUGAAACGAAAACUUUGUGACUGGUUAUUACAGAGGGUUGACACAGCAAGGUCGGUAUUAUGUGUUAAUGGUUGGGAAUUAGAGCUAAGUGCACAGAAUUUUGGACAAAUAAUGGGUAUUAUGUUACAGUCUUUUGUUGGAACAACUUCAUUAAAAGGUUAUGUAGUAAUCUUCUACUUUUGUAUUGCAGAUAUCUUAUUCUGCACAUUUGCUGAACAACUCAUCAGUUCCAUUUCGGCAUACCAUUCAAUAUUUUUUUUCAAUAAUUCAUAUAUUCGUGUUGUUUAUCAGGGCUAAAGAAGUUCUGAUAGCCAUGAAAGUUAUAUCAAUAUUUAACAAAGCUGCUCGUUUCUUUGUCAUAUCUAAGUGUCCUCACUUUUACGCUUGCCAUAUACAUUAAUUUAUCGUUAAAUAAGGUUUACACAUGGUAAAGCCAUAAGAUAUUAAAGUCACUAUCAAAUUUAUUCAAGUCAUUAAUUUUUCUGCAUAUAUAUAACAUGUGAAAUAAUGAUUAGAGCAACUAAUUCAAUCAAAAAACCUUUAAAAAAUAUUACAUAAAUAGUUAAAACAUAUCAAGUUACACAUGCAUUUCAAUGUUUUUCAUCAUUUCUGUCACCUAGAUAGUACUUAAAUUUAAACCUAUAAUAUAAGAAGUUCCACUUUUUAUAUGCAUAUCAGGUUAAACAUGCAUAACAAAAUUUUAUUUACACAAUCAUGUUCUACGAUUUACACACAUAAUGUAAAAACAUCAUUUCCCACGCUGCCUUCUUUCUCAGCAAAGUUCAACUUUCUUUUCUCAUUGCAAUAAUAGUAGCUUGCUCUGGUUCCU